UCCACCAGAGAUGGGAACGCAGCCCUGAGCAGUGUCCUGGUCUUUGUCUAGCCCUUAUCCACACAGCAGGAUUAUUGUCUGUUUGUCUUACAGUACCUUCUAGAGGCCCCGGGUGAAAUGGCACGCCACUGUGCUGGGUGUUUCCUUCACUUCCCAGGGGUGGACAGUCUCUUCCCCAGAGGAGCUACAACCUACAGGCCAAGGCACACACAGGAAGGGCCUUUAUCCUUAUUGUGGAAAAACAGGACCGAUGUUGAGUCUACAUCUACAUCUGCUGUGGGUGGAAGGGCAUGGGAUCCUUCAGAACAAAUGCCGCUGCCAUGUGCUGGCUCCCUGGUGGGGAAGGCCAGCAAAGCCCUUCUGAAAUGCUGUGUGCUCACACUGUGAGAAAGGGAGGAGCAGCAAGGAGGGCUCCAGGGGCUGUGUCUGCGCUCAGGUCAGCAAAUGCAGACCUGGGAGCACAUCAUAGCAGACCUGCCCUCCAGUCUAGAAAACUUCCAGAAGUAUGUGACUUGCAAAUUCAACCAGGAAAUCUAUGAUGAGGCAACAGGUUCUUAAUUAGGGGGUAGAGUCCUCUGCCCAACGCCUGUACCAGCACUGUCAAAAAAGGCUAAGAAUGGUUUCACGCUAAACCAGCCCGGCCCUGAGGUUGAUUAGUGGAAACCACUGCAAGUGCAUCACGGCAAUCAAGGCAAGUCUGGAUGGAAAGGGGAAAAAAAAAAAAAAAAAAGUAGUGUUUGCUGUUCUUUUGGAGAAGCAUUCCCGGACAAGCAGCAGGUAUUUCUAAUAUUCUUCAAAAAGGAGUCUACUACUGAUGAAAAGAUCAAUUGAGUGACGUGGUAUCUGUGGUCAUGGAGCACAAAAUGGUGAGCAGACAGUGUUGGCUACUCCCCCAUUGCUGAUGAAAAGCAUGACUGGAACCAGCAUGAAGCUCUUCUGCAGGGAAGCUGCCAAGGAAACCUUUCCAUGAUUUGUAAUUAUUCAUCUUCUGAAGGGAAGCUCUGCAGCAGAUGAGUUGUCCAGAGAGUUCUGGCCAGGCAGCAGCAGGGAAGCUCUGUGGUUCUGCACCCCACAGCCCAGUUUUAGAUAUCCUACAGAUUGAUGUGUAUGACAGCUAAUGGCUUUUGACUUAAGCUGAAUGUGUAGUACGUCACAUACGAGCAGAGGUGCCUAGACCACCCAGAAAAAAUGCUGGAGCCUUUAUCUUUAAGGGAAGUAGCUCACAGACUCUAUGUAUGGAAGUACACACAGUUAUCACCUGGUGUCAAGAAAUCCCAUCUGAAGACACAAGACUGAGUUUUCCAAGUGUCAAAGUGCUCAAGACCUCAGUCCAGGACAUUUCUCAGUUUGUCUAGAAUAUUAUAAACUGGAAAAGAAAACUUGAUUCCUGACACAACACUUACUAUCAGUGUGACAGCUGAAGCCCCAGGAGCUAAAGAGGACAAAGCAUGUUAAGUUUUGGGCCUGAGAACUUGAAGCUGGUGGCUGGAGGGAGAGGUAAAUAUCUUCUAAGGUAUAGACCUUGCAGUGCAGUUAUGGAUGCUCCAGACCAAUGUCACCUCCUCUCGUCCUUCAAGGUUAUCACCAGAAGCAAGUUUAGAGACCACACUUUACUGAUUCUCCAAAAAGAACACCUGAGUGCCUGUCCCCAUCUGAUGAGAAUAUAAGGGGCUCAUCAAGAAGCUGAGACCUAGCAUGAUGGACUUUCCUGGACAUGCUGUUGCACUUUAGGGUGAGAAUAUGCAACAUGGCCUCCCAAAAGAAGCAGAUUUUAAGGACAUUAUUCCUGAAGGACAUAUCAAGAACUUACUUGGGGAAUGUCAGAUCCUUUGUUGUUCAGUGGAUAUUGAGCCUUCUCUCACAGCUGUCCAAGUGUCCUGAGAAGGUACUUCUGAAACCUUUUGAUAUCCCAGAGAAGGCAGAAGAGCAGUGUCAUGAUGGCAACUGGACUGUUGAGUAAGUACCCUGCAUGGGCUGCCUCUGGAAUUAGCAAGUAAAACUAAAGACUCCACACAAAGAUGCAGCACUGCCUGUGCUUUAUAAGAAGACCAGAUAUCUAUUUGUUCCUGGUACCUAAGGGCCUGCUUCUCCACAAAUAGACAGGAACCCAUUUUCUAGGCACUCUUCAUGGGAGAUCUUGAUUGAAGGUAGUGCCAGAGCAAUUUUAUUAAUACCUGUCAGUCAAAGGUGUGAUUACAAACCAGAUAUCUUAGAUCAUAUGACAGUCUUGGUAACAUGCAAUACAAUCCAUUUACAAAACCCAGCAUCAUGAACUACUCCAAAUAUUUGAAGAAUAAGUUUAGUAGCUCUGGUGAUAGAACCAGUCAGCUAGUAGAACUUGAGCACAGUAGUUUAAAGCUUGCUUAUGUAUAUCUGUAAAAACCUUAACCACAUCCUGGACUUCAGUGAAAGUUGCACAAUAAAUUCAGUACUAACGCUUAAAGCAAAUGCCAUCAUGAGACUUCCAAAGGAGAAAAAAAUGUGGAAAUUAAUUUGUUCUAAUGGUAUAGAAUUAAAAACAAAACCCUCAGCAAACAACAAACAUCUAUCUUGAGGAUGAAAAGGAGAUUUUAUUAAUCAUAAUCAUAUCUGAUCUAUAUCCCCACUCAAAGUAGGGCUCAUUUUGUUGCUCAGGUUUUAUCAAGUUCUCCAGGUAUGCAGAUACCCCAAUCUCUCUGGGCAACAGUUCUGUGGAGAAUUUUUUUCUUGUAUCUAACUGAAAUUUCCCUUGUUGCAUCUUCUUUGCUGCCUUUUGACCUCUUCUGUACACCUGAAAGAAAGGUCUUUCUCCAUCUGCUUUAUAACUAUGAAGCUAAAGGAAAAAAUUAGAUUUCGUAUAAUCUUCCUUUUCUCUAGUUUAAACAAAUCCAUUUCUUUAACCUCUCCUUGUACAUAAUGUGCUUCAUCUCCUUAAUAAUAUUGCUGGCCCUCCAUUGGACUAGUUCCAAUUCUUUCUCAUACUGAUGGGCAAAAAACUGGACACAGCACCCUCUGCUUGAGCAUGUUGUGCCUAAGGGAGAAGAAUAAUCACACCCAUUGAGCUGCACACUGCACUCACUAACACAGCCCAGCAUGUGGUUAUCAUUCCUUGCCCAAAGAGUGCCCCUUAGCUCAAAUACACCUCUGAGGACCUUUUCCCUCCUAGAAAAUCCCAUUAAAUAUGGAUCAAUGGGAGAGGGGAGAAAAAGGAAGGACAGGGAAAUACAACUUUUCGAAGUACAAAUUCCUUUAAGAACACAAAGGCAAUGCUAGCAAAGAAGGCUGGAUGCAGUUCUGAAGUCAUCAGGUUUCUUCUCUCUGCAGAAGUAUGUUAUCUCUGUUUGCAAAUUUGGGCUUAAAAAUACAAUAAAUACUAAACCACUUGACUUGUCCAAAAUCACAAAAGAACUUUAUCAAACCAAGAGUCCAAAUUACUUUGUUCAGUUUUCAAUUCAGACUUCAAUGUCACUCUUAAUCUAAAAGUAAUUCAGAUCAGACUAUUCAAAAUGUUUCUGUGACUGUUUGUUUCUUAUUGUCCCACUACUGAAAAGUUGGUAUGGAUACUUUUAGCUUGGAACAUAGAAACACACUAACAGCCAUGAAAGACUUCCUUCUGAAAAAAAAAGUGUUUCAUUUUCUUUUAGGUUAUUUGUUUUUUCCCUUUGGUAGGCAUUCAGCCAUUUUUACUAGGUCUCUUCUUGUCACCUUAAAUUAAAUUCAUAAAAAUGUCAGAACAUUACUGACCAAAAUUAUUUUCUCAUCCACACUGUGGUUCUGUUGGGAACUUUUCCCUAGAUGAUGCUAUUUGAACCUGACUAUUGACAAUAAAUUUAUUGCCUCUA